rnacentral:lncRNA from 1 species
GUGCAUCUUGCUAGCGUCCUCUAAGUCGAAGCGAAUUGGAUCAAUUUCAGCCGAGCUUCUGAAUCCGUCCCCCCUUCACCGUUGUUGGGCCGUGCAUAGAUCACAUUAGGCUGAAAUCACAUCUUAGCUUCUGAUAUAUUCGACAAGGUCUUCGGUUUUUCCCUUUGGCUUAUUCAAUUCUACGAGUUGAUGGAGGCCUGGAUUUGCUCUAGAGUUUUUCCCUUUGUUUCAGGCACAAUCUUCACAACAAAUAGUACUGUAAGAGCACAGAAUCCCGCAUAGAUCAUGAAUGUUCCUGAGGAAUGAAAUUUCAGACACAAGUAUGAAUCAAUCACAAAUCAUUAAUGUAAAAUUAAGGUUUAAUCUAUUCGAUUCUGACAAUGUCUGGACAGUAAUCGUUUACCUGUUGAACUCCAGCUCAUGAGAAAGUUGAAUGUGUAGGAAACUGCCCAAGCACCUGACCAGUUUACUAGUACUACCAGGCUCCCAGCUAAACCUUUCAUGUGAAUUGGGAAUAUCUGAAAAGUAAAAAAUAGUGUUAGGAUUUACGGCACCUUUAGUGGUUUGCUUCAGAUCUUUCAGUAAAUCAUGCAAUAUGAUGGAACAAGGUGGCGAAAAAGGAUCGAAGUAGGUGACUCAAAAUUUGCUGAGAAGAAAGACUUACGCUUACGCUAAAUGAUUGAGUAUCAAAGUAUAACCACAGUAUACGAUUUUUUACGACCACUAAUUUACCAAACUUAUUUUGUAGAUCUCUAGUUAUUCUGAGUUCGUGCAAUUGAAUGGAAACGUAUGUUGAAUUCUUACGUUAAUAAUAGUAAAUAGCAUUUUUCUAGGUAUAAAUUUUCUUAUAAAAUGCACUAUGAAUUAUAUUAUUUUCUUUAAAAUCGCUUUUUAACAAUUUCAUCAUCUUUUAAAAGUGGCUUUGCCUUUCUCCGGCCCCGAAGUAUUGAUUCAACAAAAUUAUGGAGUCUUGUCACGCUCUUUCAUGCAUUACUUUGCUAUUAAAAAUCUUCAUACUUUACUUUUUCACGAUUUAACAUUAUUUGUUUCAAUAUUUAAAUAUGUAAUUCAUAUGACGGUAAUGUUAUUUUGGAAGUCUCCAAUUGAUGGUGCACUUUAAGAACAUAAGAUAAUUUAUAACUAAGAGAACUAAAAUGAAUGAAGUGCUUACAAGGGCUACUACACGAAUUUGAACUUCGUCGAUCAAGCUAGUCAUUUUGAAUCUUAAUAAAUACGACAGUUUCUCUCACAUUCUGCACGACACAAUAAUCUUGGCUUUGAAAUUGAAAGGUGGCGAACAAAAUAAGAAAAUUAUAGUGGGGAACAAAUUUAGGAACAACGGAGUAUUAAACGAACAUCCAGAUUUAUUACUUGAAAUAUUCUCUAGUUAUAAUCCGACCUAGUUUUAUUCUCUAACAUCUUAAUCUUUUUAGUUAAAGUGAUUCAACAUCAUGGAAUAUUGCAAACGCGCAAUCCAGAAUGAAUAAAAAAUAUGCAUAAUUUUUUGCAUCAAUUAAAAAUUUAAGAAAUAACGUAAUAACAGCUGAAAAUUCAAUAACAAAUCUGCUCUGAGUGAUACAUGCACAAGUAUAUAUGUAUAUCUAUCAGUAUUGAUUGGAACAUCAUAUUGCAGGCACAAUUGUAUGGUGCAUCUUGCUAGCGUCCUCUAAGUCGAAGCGAAUUGGAUCAAUUUCAGCCGAGCUUCUGAACCCAUCCCCCCUUCACCGUUGUUGGUCCGUGCAUAGAUCACUUGAAUUCGAUAAUGAAAGAAAGACGAGAUACAUUAGACAGAAAUCACAUCUUAGCUUCUGAUAUAUUCGACAAGGUCUUCGGUUUUUCCCUUUGGCUUAUUCAAUUCUAUGAGUUGAUGGAGGCCUGGAUUUGCUCUAGAGUUUUUCCCUUUGUUUCAGGCACAAUCUUCACCACAAAUAGUACUGUAAGAGCACAGAAUCC